GAUGAAGAACGUAGCGAAAUGCGAUAAGUAAUGUGAAUUGCAGAAUUCAGUGAAUCAUCGAAUCUUUGAACGCACAUUGCGCCCGCCAGUAUUCUGGCGGGCAUGCCUGUUCGAGCGUCAUUUCAACCAUCAAGCCCCCGGCUUGCGUUGGGGACCUGCGGCUGCCGCAGGCCCUGAAAACCAGUGGCGGGCUCGCUAGUCACUCCGAGCGUAGUAAUACAUCUCGCUCAGGGCGUGCUGCGGGUUCCGGCCGUUAAAAAGCCUUAUUUACCCAAGGUUGACCUCGGAUCAGGUAGGAAGACCCGCUGAACUUAAGCAUAUCAAUAAGCGGAGGA
rnacentral:misc_RNA from 1 species